CAAUAGCGUAUAUUAAAGUUGUUGCAGUUAAAAAGCUCGUAGUUGGAUUUCUGUUCUCGAGGAUCGGUCCGCCUCACGGUGAGCACUGGUUUUUCUUUGGGGACAUCCUCUCGAAGGCGGGUGGUGCACUUAAUUGUGUGCUGCUUGGAUUCGGGACCUUUACUUUGAAAAAAUUAAGAGUGUUCAAAGCAGGCGUCGGCUUGAAUACAUUAGCAUGGAAUAAUGGAAUAGGACUUUGGUUCUAUUUUGUUGGUUUCUAGGACCGAAGUAAUGAUUGAUAGGGACAGUUGGGGGCAUCAGUAUUCUGAAGCGAGAGGUGAAAUUCUUGGACCUCGAGACUAACAACUGCGAAAGACAUUUGUCCUAGGAUGUUCUCUUUAAUUCAAGAACGAAAGUU
rnacentral:rRNA from 1 species